rnacentral:rRNA from 1 species
CAGCAGCCGCGGUAAUACGGAGGGGGCUAGCGUUGUUCGGAAUUACUGGGCGUAAAGCGCACGUAGGCGGCUUGGUAAGUUAGAGGUGAAAGCCCAGGGCUCAACCCUGGAAUUGCCUUUAAGACUGCCGAGCUAGUAGGUGAGAGAGGUAAGUGGAAUUCCGAGUGUAGAGGUGAAAUUCGUAGAUAUUCGGAAGAACACCAGUGGCGAAGGCGGCUUACUGGCUCAUUCUAGACGCUGAGGUGCGAAAGCGUGGGGAGCAAACAGGAUUAGAUACCCCGGUAGUCCCUGUCUCUUAUAC